UACGUAGGGUGCAAGCGUUAUUCGGAAUUACUGGGCGUAAAGCGUGUGCAGGCGGUUCUGCAAGUCAGAUGUGAAAUCCCCGGGCUCAACCUGGGAACUGCAUUUGUGACUGCAUGACUAGAGUACGGCAGAGGGGGAUGGAAUUCCGCGUGUAGCAGUGAAAUGCGUAGAUAUGCGGAGGAACACCGAUGGCGAAGGCAAUCCCCUGGGCCUGUACUGACGCUCAUGCACGAAAGCGUGGGGAGCAAACAGG
rnacentral:rRNA from 1 species